UUUGAAUGUCCGUCUUCAGGCGACAACUGUUGUUAAAUUCAAAAAAUUUGAAUGUCCGUCUUCAGGCGACAACUGUUGUUAAAUUCAAAAAGAUUUUUUGAAUUUAACAACAGUUGUCGCCUGAAGACGGACAUUCAAA